GACUGCCUGGAGGCAUGAUAAGCGUGACUCAGUAGGAGAGUUCAAGUUGUACAAGUUACCUCCAAAGACCUUUAUGUAUGGCAUAUUCUAGGAAUGUAGUACAUGAGAAAGAGUAUUCAUGGUAUGUAAAAUGGCCCCCGGGUCACUAUAAUUGGGUAGCCCUACCCCGAUGUAAAGGGACGGUCAAUUUUCAGAAUGAAACCACGAGUGCUUCCUUUACAUUGUUGUAUUCGAGUCAACUUGAGAUUUGUUUCCCAAUAUUCCAUUCGUGGAAUAAAAAGGACUCACAAAGUCUAAGGAUUUUGACAUGUAUUACUUUUAUAGAAUUCCCUAUUUGAUACCGAGUUCAACUUUCAUUCCUUAUAUGACACUCUAUUAGAUUUUACAUCUGUGAACCGAUAAAUACCUUGUGAAAAGAUGAUUUUACCCCUAUGGGCCCCACCACCCUUCUCCC
rnacentral:lncRNA from 1 species